rnacentral:rRNA from 1 species
AUUGAACGCUGGCGGAAUGCUUUACACAUGCAAGUCGAACGGCAGCACGGGUGCUUGCACCUGGUGGCGAGUGGCGAACGGGUGAGUAAUGCACCUGCACGUAACCAAUAAUGGGGGAUAACGCACCGAAAGGUGUGCUAAUACCGCAUCCGCCCUGCGGAGGACAGCGGGGGAUCGAAAACUCUCGCGGUACGGGAGCUGCCGAUGCCGGUCUAGCGACUUGGUGGGGUAAAGGUUCACCAAGGCGACGAUCCGUAGCUGGUAUGAGAGGACGACCAGCCACACUGGAACUGAGACACGGUCCAGACUCCUACGGGAGGCAGCAGUGGGGAAUUUUGGACAAUGGGCGAAAGCCUGAUCCAGCCAUUCCGCGUGAGUGAAGAAGGCCUUCGGGUUGUAAAGCUCUUUCGCAAGGAAAGAAAACUCAUUUCCUAAUACGAGAUGAGGAUGACGGUACCUUGACAAGAAGCACCGGCUAACUACGUGCCAGCAGCCGCGGUAA